UACGUAGGGUGCAAGCGUUAAUCGGAAUUACUGGGCGUAAAGCGUGCGCAGGCGGUUAUGUAAGACAGAUGUGAAAUGCCCGGGCUUAACCUGGGGAACUGCAUUUUGUGACUGCAUGGCUAGAGUUUGGCAGAGGGGGUAGAAAUUCCACGUGUAGCAGUGAAAUGCGUAGAUAUGUGGAGGAACACCGAUGGCGAAGGCGGCGACCUGGACAGAUACUGACACUCAACUACGAAAGCGUGGGGAGCAAACAGG
rnacentral:rRNA from 1 species